GUCGGCGUUGGCGGUGGGACAAGCCAGACACGAAGCGCCAAGAUAACCCCAGCACAUGAGCAGUGAUUGUCCUUACCUCAGCUAAUGCACUUUUAAAAGAACUGAAACUUUUACGGCUUGUUUUCAGAACUCCCCCUUUCCCCGCACCCCUCUGGCCACCCACGUGGUCCAAACAGUCCUGUCACAGAGAGGUGAAGAAGUCCUCUUAUGUCCUGCGCCUCCUUUGGACAGAACUGGUGCAGACCACAUUCAUCAAGCAGAAAAACCUCGGCUAGGAGAUCCUCGAAACACACAGAGAAAGAUAACACACAAAGAAAAAAGCCUCACUUGGAAAGCUUUUGGGUUCUAUCACCAGAACCCACGGCCAAAUGACCUCCCUGGAUCACAAGGUCCCCGGCUCUAAGGGCGAGACUGUAUGUCACGCAGCCAGUCACUCCACAGCAAGUCUGCAUCCAUCUCCACUGCAGGCUAUGCUCCUCCAGUCCUGCAGUGUGGCGUCCACGCCCGGCACAGAGGUCAUGGCCAGGGCUUCAUGGGGCCCGGGAGGAAGACUGCAGGCUCGCCUUUAGGGUGACCUGUCCGGGGGCUGCUGUCAUGCUGGGGACGCUGAGUUACUCACCAGGAAGUCACCUCUGCGGGACUCAGACUGCUCAGGGAGGGCCUGGGCCUGGCCUCCGAUGGCAGCUGCCCCGAGCACACUUCCGGGAAGCCACUCCUGGGACAUCCUUACUUCCUGCUCUCUGCCCAGAGUCUGGAAGGAAGAUGAGGCCUCCUCGGUGGCAGCAUCCAGCUGUGCCUCCCUCUUUCCUGGCCUUCAGCCUGCCUCACCCCUUCCACAGACUCUUCCCUCCUCCGGCCUGGGGUCUUGGUUCCCAGAGCGGGAAGGACCCGGCCCUGCCCACCAGCCUCCUGGCUCCACACCCAUCGCUGGGUCUUCCGCAGAUUGUCUUCAUCCCCUGGCACAAUUGGAGUUCCAGAGAGAGCAAACCGUCUGGGGAGCACUGCGUGGAGCCCCGGACUUCAGGCCCCGGCAAAGGGGAGUGCUCAAUGACCUGAGUCUAUCCUUGUUCGUGGCAGAGUAGUGCUCCACUGCAUCUAAGCACUACAUCCUCUUUAUGCAUUCAUCUGUCGGUGGACACCUAUACGGCAGGAAGAGAGAUCUUUCGCAAAUGAGGAGAGAACCAAGAGAUGAAGAAGAGGGGAGGGGAGAGAGGAGGGGCGGAAGGUGUGUGAUGCACACGGGCCAGCACCCCACAGUGAACGCAACCACGCACUCAAACAUGGACUGAAAAAAUAAAAGUUUGAAAUGAGCCACAAAGACUCCCGACCCGACCCGCGGGCCGUGUGACCGUCAGUGCGUGUUGCAAUUGGCCCUGAGUCUGGGGCCGACGUGCAGCUGUCCCUCACAGAUGUACUCCCCCCCCCCACAUCACUCCAUCCUGCCUGCCAGGGACCAGCCUCUGGGUGACACAGCCGGCAUCAGGGAGGAGGUGUCAGCGGCCGGAAGAAAGCUGAGAUCCUACUUCCCUCCAAAUGGGAGUGGGUGUUGCUAUCCAGGAGGUCUUUAGCUGCUCCCGAAGUAUCGCAGGUGAUGAUGGGCCAGAAGAGAACAUUUUUUAACCCUCAGGGUAGGUCUGACAUAAGGCAGGGGGGCAGACUACACGGUCCUCGUGUUAAAGUUUUUAGUUUGCUUGGAAAUAACCACCCAGCACGAUCUCCUGAGCACUCACUCCAAGCAGAGUGUUGGUCCAGCCCGGGGCUUGGUCAUCCCUGAGCCAGGGCCGGUGCUUCAGGGGACAGCCACCAGCACCCUCCACAGAGAAGCUGAGACUCGGAGUCCCACGGCCGGCCAGCAGGGGGCAGGAGUCCACAGCAGGCGCCCCAGCUCCAGAUCCAGGUGCUUAAACACUGUGCCGUUCAUUUUGGUGAGCGAGGAGGAGGAGGAAAUGUUCCCCAUACUCCCAACACCUGGGAGCGACCACAAAUAAUUCUGAUGUUUUUCGUAACAACACAGAGCUCACACUACACACACAAAUGUGUGUCCUGCGCCUGUGUUUCUCAGUCGACACGCUAUGGGUGUCUUCUGCAAGCGCCGGAAGCAGGCAGGCCACCCUCAGGAUGUGCUUCGAGUCCCAGGUCCUCCCCUGCAGCAGACAACUGCAGGCGCUGUGCAGAGCGAUCCUGAGUCCAGCUGCCCAUCGGGGUGGGUACACAGGGCUCUUCCCGUGUUUGGGAUUUUUGAGUUGCAGUGGAUCCCACCUGGCGUUGUGGCCAGAACAGAGGGUGCAGAGCCCCCAGGAGGCUCGGAAGCCGGAGGGAGGGGACCCGCUGUCUGGAGCCAGGUGCCCCUCAGCGACAUCCCUCCUGAUCAGGCGCUUCACAAAGACAAGAGGACUACUUGCUUUCAGAAGGCUGGGAUUCUGUUGUCUUCAGUAGCGGAGCCUUCUUCCGGAAGCUGUAAAAUUUCAAACCUAAUGCCUGGUAAACUCCUCUAGUGCUUGCGUUUCUUAAACUGCCUCAAGGCUGUAGCCGCAGCCCUUUGCGUUUUUUAUUGUUUCUUUCGGAGCUGUGCGUUUGUGAGUCCUUGUGUGCAGUGUGUCAGGAUCACGCUCAUCCCAGGGAGUCGGUCCAUGCGUGGAACCCACCCUAAUCCCCUCUGCGUCCGCCCCCUCUCUCUGUCUCUCACUCCCCAUCCCUUUCCCAGAAGACCUGUCUCUCUGCGUCCCACUCUCUGGCUUGCAUUUUGCUCUGCUAAGCCGACCUCUCCUGGCCACCUGCCUCUUGGUUCUCACUGGGCUCCACCAUGCCCCCCAUUUCUCUAGAUCCUCAAAGGAACAAAAAAGUCCUUAAUCCCAUAAACACAAAACUAUACUUUUUUAGGAAAAAUAAUUGAAACGAAUUUUUUUCCACUGUGAUGGCUAAAUGACCCAGGAAGAGCAGGUGGCUUUCCGUCUUCUGCUGCUGAGCCUCAAGUCAGGGUGGCCGAGCUGGACGUUAGCUUGGGAAAGGCCAGGCCUGACCAUGGCACUGCCAGCAUGCACCAGACACAAGCUGUGUACUGUGCACAGAGCUCAGUACCCAACCCUGCUCUGGGGCUCCAGGGACCCCUGGGAGGCAAGGGACCCUAAGAAGAGACAGCCAGAGAGAAAGACGGCCAUGCAGCCACUCCUCUCCUCCCUGUAGUCCACAGAUUAAUGGUGCCCCGAAGACAUCCUCAUUCUGAGCCCUGGGACCCGGAUGUGCCACCUGACAUGGCGAAAGGAGGAUGCAAGUGUUAUUAAAUUGAGAGCCUCGAGACUGGGUGACUUGGGAUUAUCCAAGUGAGUCCAGUCUCAUCACAUGGAUCCGGAACAGUGAAGAGCACCCAGCUGCUCAGGAGGCUGAGGCAGGAGGAUCUCUUGAACCUAGGUACUGGAGACCAGACUGGCAGCAUAGUGAGACGCCCCCUUCAACUACACAAUGCAUCACAGGCCUGAAGACCUUUCUCGAAUUCACCUCUGUCUCUGGCUUUCAUUUUGGGUGGUGAUGUGUCUGUGUAAUACCAUGCUGGACUCACUCUCUACGGGUAUGGAAUGAGCCCUUCCCAGCCUCUGAUGGAGGAAGGUGUGGUCACCUGGGAAGGGCUAAGAGAGAGCUGCUGGUGCAGAAGUGGGGUCAAGUUGGGACAANNNNNNNNNNNNNNNNNNNNNNNNNNNNNNNNNNNNNNNNNNNNNNNNNNNNNNNNNNNCCACACACCCCGAGAGGAGCCGCCAGCAUCGCCACGGGGCCUGGGGAGACCCACUUGCCUGCCAAGCUGUAAAACCACAGCGAAUGAGUCCGAGCAGCUUCAUGGCACUGAAGUUGUGCUGAUUUCCUACCGCACGACAGCGGCUCUGCCUCCACUCUCCACCUGCACGGCCAUCAGAGUGGCGUUGCACUGAGAAGCCAGAGGGACUCCUCCUGUACAGAGUGUUGGCUGCUACUUCUAUGCUUCUUUUCUUCCCAGAAGAAAAACACCUGUUUUCUCAUGGUUGUGCAGUGACAGGAGAACCAGCCUAGUGCUCACUCUGCUACAGCCCUGCUGAGCACUCAGAGGUCUCUUCCAAGCCAGCUCUUCCUCGAGAUCCAGUAGUAAAGAUUCAGGGGGAAACGGUCACUCAGCCAUUCAACAAAAACCCACCAGAAUGGCUCAGACACUGUACCAGGCACUGGCAAUGAAGAGGUCUAUGCAACCUAAUCCCACUGCUGGGCAAGUCAGGCAGAUACCAAACACUGACUGGAGCCACGAUAUGCAGGAUGGGAAAGAUCACAGAGCAAAUCCCCAGCCCAGUCUGGAGGGGAAGGAGAGCUUUCUAGAGGAAAUUACAUCUAAGCUGAAGCCCCAGGAUUGGGGAAAUCUGGCUAAGCAAAGAAGGGAAAGAAUAGCAAUGCAAAGUGUAGAGAGAAGAAAAACAUGGAUGGUAUGGAUAGAUGGACAGAUGGGUGGGUGGAUGGGUGGACAGGUGGAGGGAUGGGUGGAUGGAUGGGUGGGUGGAUGGGUGGAUGGACAGGUGGAUGGGUGGAUGGGUGGACAGGUGGAGGGAUGGGUGGAUGGAUGGG
rnacentral:lncRNA from 1 species